UUCUUAGAAUGCUGCUCCAGGGAAUAAGUCCUCCGCAGGAUGGCUAGGGAGGAACACCAGGCGGGCUUGCCUGGUCAACCACAGGUUGUAUGAGAUGAAGUGGAAAGGCGAGGCUUAUGUCUAGGGUUAGAACAUUGUUAUCGUGGAAGAGUUUGCAUAAUGUAAAAGCUACCAUUUUGUUGGUCUUAGUGGUACAUGAUUUUAAUUUCAGCACUUGGAAGACAGCGGAACAGGCAGAACUGGAAAGAACAACUUAAAAGUUUGAAAAAAUGAAACUAAGGAAAACAAGGAUGUUACAACAUCUCCAACAUGGCUAAGGUUUUGGCAUAUGCAUGCAGGUUCAUCAGAGGGCACAGCUCGCUGUACUAUGGGAUCUGAGGUGCUGGCCACAUAAACCCGUUAAGUUCACUGCAUAGCCCACACCGUUCUCAUGAUUUGCUGCUUCAAAUACCAUUGCAAGGUAUGCGCAUUGUCUUCAGCCUUUCCAGUGACCGUGUCGUCAUUGCCCGUGCAUGCAGACGAAGCUCACGCUCAUGCCAGGUUGCCGUCGGAGUGGCCUGGGUGGAAGCCUUUGGAGUGCAAGGUGAGCUGCACCAGGGAGAUUUGCUACCAGUCCGUGCUCUGAGGGUUCAUAUGACCAGCCCUGAUGUCCCGGAUAAUCCUAAACUUGCCACCCUCCUGCAUCUACCUUCCAAGUACUGGAAUUACAGGUUCGUGUCCUCAGCUUGUUCCCUUUGAUUCCUUACUGGUGUCCCAAGGUGGAGUGUACUGCAGGUAUAGAACUAUGUUUACUCAAGUCUGAACAGCAAGAACAACAACAGCAACAACAACAGCAACAACAACAGCAACAACAGCAGCAACAACAACAGCAACAACAACAACAAAACAAAAUUCAGCUGCCGUUUUUGUUAAGUUCUGUUUCUAUCAAUGUUUUCAAAGUAUUAAGAAUACAAUUCAGUUGUAUAACUCUUGCA